rnacentral:misc_RNA from 2 species
CCGAAGCAUAGAGAGAUUGUAGCUGCCUUUAACCAAGGAUGUGCACAUCUUUCAAUCUUCAUUAACCACCUGUGAACCUUUGGUAUACUGUAAUUGGCUUUCACUGAAAAUGUGGAUAGAGAGCUUGUUAACGCUUGCUUUCGAUAAAUUACAGUGUGCUCAUUUAUACACACUUAUAAAAACCUUUGAAUGUAUUAUGUUUUGGUUGUAAUGACCUAUAACAAUUUAAAUA